rnacentral:rRNA from 1 species
UACAGGGGGGCAAGGCGUUGUUCGGAAUUACUGGGCGUAAAGGGUUCGUAGGUGGCCACCUAAGUCAGACGUGAAAUCCCUCAGCUUAACUGGGGAACUGCGUCUGAUACUGGGUGGCUUGAGUGCAGGAGAGGGAUGCGGAAUUCCAGGUGUAGCGGUGAAAUGCGUAGAUAUCUGGAGGAAUACCGGUGGCGAAGGCGGCAUCCUGGACCGACAUUGACGCUGAACGGCGAAAGCUAGGGGAGCAAACGGG